CCUACGGGAGGCAGCAGUGAGGAAUAUUGGUCAAUGGACGAGAGUCUGAACCAGCCAAGUAGCGUGAAGGAUGACUGCCCUAUGGGUUGUAAACUUCUUUUAUAUGGGAAUAAAACGUUCCACGAGUGGGAUUUUGUAUGUACCAUAUGAAUAAGGAUCGGCUAACUCCGUGCCAGCAGCCGAGGUAAUACGGAGGAUCCGAGCGUUAUCCGGAUUUAUUGGGUUUAAAGGGAGCGUAGGUGGAUUGUUAAGUCAGUUGUGAAAGUUUGCGGCUCAACCGUAAAAUUGCAGUUGAAACUGGCAGUCUUGAGUACAGUAGAGGUGGGCGGAAUUCGUGGUGUAGCGGUGAAAUGCUUAGAUAUCACGAAGAACUCCGAUUGCGAAGGCAGUUCACUGGACUGCAACUGACACUGAGGCUCGAAAGUGUGGGUAUCAAACAGGAUUAGAUACCCUAGUAGUC
rnacentral:rRNA from 1 species